GGGGCCAUAGCUCAGCUGGGAGAGCGCUACAAUGGCAUUGUAGAGGUCGCCGGUUCGAUCCCGGCUGGCUCCACCA
rnacentral:tRNA from 58 species